rnacentral:rRNA from 1 species
GACGAACGCUGGCGGCGUGCUUAACACAUGCAAGUCGAACGGAAAGGCCCUGCGCUCGUGGGGUGCUCGAGUGGCGAACGGGUGAGUAACACGUGAGUAACCUGCCCCUGACUUUGGGAUAACUUCAGGAAACUGGGGCUAAUACCGGAUAGGAGCUCCUGCUGCAUGGUGGGGGUUGGAAAGUUUCGGCGGUUGGGGAUGGACUCGCGGCUUAUCAGCUUGUUUGUGGGGUAGUGGCUUACCAAGGCUUUGACGGGUAGCCGGCCUGAGAGGGUGACCGGCCACAAUGGGACUGAGGUACGGCCCAGACUCCUACGGGAGGCAACAGGGGAGAAUAUUACGGAGUGAGCGGGAGCCUGAUACGGCGGCGCCGCGUGCGGGAUGACGGGCUUCGAGGUGUAAACCGCUUUCGCCUGUAACGAAGCGUGAGUGACGGUAAUGGGUAAGGAAGCACCGGCUAACUACGUG